rnacentral:lncRNA from 1 species
GUGUAUAUCAUCCAACAAUUAAUGAUAUCAUCUGUUAAUAACCUAAAGAUACCCACGGGGUACAUAAAGCGAUUUCCUUUAUUUACGAUUGAACAAUAAACUCGCUACGAAGACACAAUAAAAAAGAGUAGCGACAAUCCAGACACCGUCAAAUGCUCAAUAUAUGCAACUGGUAUAACACACCCCGAGUUAGGAAAAAUUAUCAUUGCAUUUUGAUUAUCCGUGAUAUUUAGCAGAAGUUGGACUUUUCCUCCGUGAUAUAUUUAGCUUACUUCGGAAUUGAAAGGAUGACAACCAGUAGGCCUAUGACGAUUGUCAAAGAAGACACAAUGACAUAGAAGAGAGGCUCUUCAAUACGGUACCAAUAUAUUGAGACAAAAUGAAUUGGCCUAACCACGGUCUAGAGAAAGCCAAAUAUUCCUCCCUGGACCCAUUAAUGGCCUGUGGUGCAUUGGACAACAACAGGCCCUGGACAUAAUCUUGGUUCUCCAUGGAUAUUGGGCUUUAGCUUACUAGAGUGAUACAAUCUAUACAGUACUGUAAUGCUACCAGCUACUGACACUACUCUACUGUGACUGUACGCACCAUUUCCAUUGAAGAAGCCCAGACCAGCAGCAGAUAAAUCAUCUUUACAAAAUGCAAUGGUCUAGCUCAUUUGCAUAUCUCUCACACUGUACUGUAUGUAUGGAUAAAUUAAAUCCAUUAAACAGCGAUAUAUUAUUACCAAUGAGGUGUUAAAGCUCUAUCUUCUGAAUAAAAAUUAUUUAUUAUUAUAAAUAAAGACAUUUUAUUAUAUAUAUAUAUAUAUACAUAUAUAUAUGUAUAUAUUUCAUAAUGUAAGUGAUUUGUAAUACUAUUAGGUCUCCGUUUAUAAUGUGUAUUAAUUAUUGUGUAGUGUGAUAUGUUUGGAGUCACUUUUGCUUAUGGAUUGCGGCGCAGCAGUGAAGUAUGACUACUAACUGCAUAUUUAUUAUUUAUUUACCACAGAAUAUAUUGCAUCAAAAGGCUUAGAAAAAAGAAAUUAAUUAUUAACUAAAGUACUCGUAUAACGUGACAAAUAUCACAAGUUAAUAAUAUAAUUUAUAAGCGUAAAUAAGGUCUAUAGAAAAUUAUAGAUAGGUCUAUUAAAUUUAUAUUUGUAUACUUAUAACAUUAUGUUUUUCGUUUUUCCAUCUUUAUAAUGAUAAUUAAAUAUUAUCAUCUGGGAAUCAUACACAAUUCAUGCAAGUGAAAUUCCACAGUAUAUAAAGUACUCGUAUAACGUGACAAAUAUCACAAGUUAAUAAUAUAAUUUAUAAGCGUAAAUAAGGUCUAUAGAAAAUUGUAGAUAGGUCUAUUAAAUUUAUAUUUGUAUGCUUAUAACAUUAUGUUUUUCGUUUUUCCAUCUUUAUAAUGAUAAUUAAAUAUUAUCAUCUGGGAAUCAUACACAAUUCAUGCAAGUGAAAUUCCACAGUAUAUUUUAAUAAUAUAGCGUAAUAAAUAUCACAAGUUAAAAAUAUAAUUUAUAAGCGUAAAUCAGGUCUAUAUAAACAUAGAUAGGUAUAUUAAAUUUAUAUUUAUAUAUAUUUAUAACAUUAUGUUUUUCGUUUUCCCAUCUUUACAAUGAUAAUUAAAUAUUAUAAUCUGGGAACCAUACACAAUUCAUGUACGAGAAAUUCUACAGUAGAACUAGUAUAACGUGACAAAUAUCACAAGUUAAUAAUACAAUUUAUAAGCGUAAAUAAGGUCUAUAGAAAA